rnacentral:rRNA from 1 species
GAUUAAGUUAUUAAGGGCGCACGGUGGAUGCCUUGGCACUAGAAGCCGAUGAAGGACGUUACUAACGACGAUAUGCUUUGGGGAGCUGUAAGUAAGCUUUGAUCCAGAGAUUUCCGAAUGGGGAAACCCAGCAUGAGUUAUGUCAUGUUAUCGAUAUGUGAAUACAUAGCAUAUCAGAAGGCACACCCGGAGAACUGAAACAUCUUAGUACCCGGAGGAAGAGAAAGAAAAUUCGAUUCCCUUAGUAGCGGCGAGCGAAACGGGAAGAGCCCAAACCAACAAGCUUGCUUGUUGGGGUUGUAGGACACUCUAUACGGAGUUACAAAGGACGACAUUAGACGAAUCAUCUGGAAAGAUGAAUCAAAGAAGGUAAUAAUCCUGUAGUCGAAAAUGUUGUCUCUCUUGAGUGGAUCCUGAGUACGACGGAGCACGUGAAAUUCCGUCGGAAUCUGGGAGGACCAUCUCCUAAGGCUAAAUACUCUCUAGUGACCGAUAGUGAACCAGUACCGUGAGGGAAAGGUGAAAAGCACCCCGGAAGGGGAGUGAAAUAGAACCUGAAACCGUGUGCUUACAAGUAGUCAGAGCCCGUUAAUGGGUGAUGGCGUGCCUUUUGUAGAAUGAACCGGCGAGUUACGAUUUGAUGCAAGGUUAAGCAGUAAAUGUGGAGCCGUAGCGAAAGCGAGUCUGAAUAGGGCGUUUAGUAUUUGGUCGUAGACCCGAAACCAGGUGAUCUACCCUUGGUCAGGUUGAAGUUCAGGUAACACUGAAUGGAGGACCGAACCGACUUACGUUGAAAAGUGAGCGGAUGAACUGAGGGUAGCGGAGAAAUUCCAAUCGAACCUGGAGAUAGCUGGUUCUCUCCGAAAUAGCUUUAGGGCUAGCCUCAAGUGAUGAUUAUUGGAGGUAGAGCACUGUUUGGACGAGGGGCCCCUCUCGGGUUACCGAAUUCAGACAAACUCCGAAUGCCAAUUAAUUUAACUUGGGAGUCAGAACAUGGGUGAUAAGGUCCGUGUUCGAAAGGGAAACAGCCCAGACCACCAGCUAAGGUCCCAAAAUAUAUGUUAAGUGGAAAAGGAUGUGGCGUUGCCCAGACAACUAGGAUGUUGGCUUAGAAGCAGCCAUCAUUUAAAGAGUGCGUAAUAGCUCACUAGUCGAGUGACACUGCGCCGAAAAUGUACCGGGGCUAAACAUAUUACCGAAGCUGUGGAUUGUCCUUUGGACAAUGGUAGGAGAGCGUUCUAAGGGCGUUGAAGCAUGAUCGUAAGGACAUGUGGAGCGCUUAGAAGUGAGAAUGCCGGUGUGAGUAGCGAAAGACGGGUGAGAAUCCCGUCCACCGAUUGACUAAGGUUUCCAGAGGAAGGCUCGUCCGCUCUGGGUUAGUCGGGUCCUAAGCUGAGGCCGACAGGCGUAGGCGAUGGAUAACAGGUUGAUAUUCCUGUACCACCUAUAAUCGUUUUAAUCGAUGGGGGGACGCAGUAGGAUAGGCGAAGCGUGCGAUUGGAUUGCACGUCUAAGCAGUAAGGCUGAGUAUUAGGCAAAUCCGGUACUCGUUANNNNNNNNNNNNNNNNNNNNNNNNNNNNNNNNNNNNNNNNNNNNNNNNNNNNNNNNNNNNNNNNNNNNNNNNNNNNNNNNNNNNNNNNNNNNNGAACUGUGAUGGGGAGAAGACAUUGUGUCUUCGAGUCGUUGAUUUCACACUGCCGAGAAAAGCCUCUAGAUAGAAAAUAGGUGCCCGUACCGCAAACCGACACAGGUAGUCAAGAUGAGAAUUCUAAGGUGAGCGAGCGAACUCUCGUUAAGGAACUCGGCAAAAUGACCCCGUAACUUCGGGAGAAGGGGUGCUCUUUAGGGUUAACGCCCAGAAGAGCCGCAGUGAAUAGGCCCAAGCGACUGUUUAUCAAAAACACAGGUCUCUGCUAAACCGUAAGGUGAUGUAUAGGGGCUGACGCCUGCCCGGUGCUGGAAGGUUAAGAGGAGUGGUUAGCUUCUGCGAAGCUACGAAUCGAAGCCCCAGUAAACGGCGGCCGUAACUAUAACGGUCCUAAGGUAGCGAAAUUCCUUGUCGGGUAAGUUCCGACCCGCACGAAAGGCGUAACGAUUUGGGCACUGUCUCAACGAGAGACUCGGUGAAAUCAUAGUACCUGUGAAGAUGCAGGUUACCCGCGACAGGACGGAAAGACCCCGUGGAGCUUUACUGUAGCCUGAUAUUGAAAUUCGGCACAGCUUGUACAGGAUAGGUAGGAGCCUUUGAAACGUGAGCGCUAGCUUACGUGGAGGCGCUGGUGGGAUACUACCCUAGCUGUGUUGGCUUUCUAACCCGCACCACUUAUCGUGGUGGGAGACAGUGUCAGGCGGGCAGUUUGACUGGGGCGGUCGCCUCCUAAAAGGUAACGGAGGCGCUCAAAGGUUCCCUCAGAAUGGUUGGAAAUCAUUCAUAGAGUGUAAAGGCAUAAGGGAGCUUGACUGCGAGACCUACAAGUCGAGCAGGGUCGAAAGACGGACUUAGUGAUCCGGUGGUUCCGCAUGGAAGGGCCAUCGCUCAACGGAUAAAAGCUACCCCGGGGAUAACAGGCUUAUCUCCCCCAAGAGUUCACAUCGACGGGGAGGUUUGGCACCUCGAUGUCGGCUCAUCGCAUCCUGGGGCUGUAGUCGGUCCCAAGGGUUGGGCUGUUCGCCCAUUAAAGCGGUACGCGAGCUGGGUUCAGAACGUCGUGAGACAGUUCGGUCCCUAUCCGUCGUGGGCGUAGGAAAUUUGAGAGGAGCUGUCCUUAGUACGAGAGGACCGGGAUGGACAUACCUCUGGUGUACCAGUUGUCGUGCCAACGGCAUAGCUGGGUAGCUAUGUGUGGACGGGAUAAGUGCUGAAAGCAUCUAAGCAUGAAGCCCCCCUCAAGAUGAGAUUUCCCAACUUCGGUUAUAAGAUCCCUCAAAGAUGAUGAGGUUAAUAGGUUCGAGGUGGAAGCAUGGUGACAUGUGGAGCUGACGAAUACUAAUCGAUCGAAGACUUAAUCAA